CCUACGGGAGGCUGCAGUGGGGGAUAUUGCACAAUGGGGGGAACCCUGAUGCAGCGACGCCGCGUGGGUGAAGAAGCGCCUCGGCGCGUAAAGCCCUGUCAGCAGGGAAGAAAAUGACGGUACUUGAAGAAGAAGCCCCGGCUAACUACGUGCCAGCAGCCGCGGUAAUACGUAGGGGGCACGCGUUAUCCGGAUUUACUGGGUGUAAAGGGGGCGCAGGCGGCGUGGCAAGCCAGGAGUGAAAGCCCGGGGCUCAACCCCGGGACUGCUCUUGGAACUGGGUGGCUGGAGUGCAGGAGGGGCGGGCGGAAUUCCUGGUGUAGCGGUGAAAUGCGUAGAUAUCAGGAGGAACACCGGUGGCGAAGGCGGCCUGCUGGACUGCAACUGACGUUGAGGCCCGAAAGCGUGGGGAGCAAACAGGAUUAGAUACCCCUGUAGUC
rnacentral:rRNA from 1 species